rnacentral:tRNA from 5 species
GCGCCGCUAGCUCAGUUGGUUAGAGCAGCUGACUCUUAAUCAGCGGGUCCGGGGUUCGAGUCCCUGGCGGCGCACUA